rfam:Vicugna pacos cont1.116617, whole genome shotgun sequence.
GAUGAGAAGAAGAAUAACUUCAUUCUGAAUCAAUGAAAAGACUUCUGUCCUCUUGCCAUUGGAUAUAUGUUAUCUGCACUUACAGAAUUGAAAUUUGUACAUCAAAGGAACAUUCUCUUGGGAAGAAAGA